CCAGGAAUUCAGGAGAAAGAGGUACAGCAGGCAUGCCUUCAGCCUCUUUGGAUACCCGGAGUUUGUAGCUUGAGUUGGACCUAAAACCUGACCAGCAUCCACCAGACCUGAGUUUGAACUGAGCACAUUGGGAAAUCUUUGCAAGGAAGAGGACCUGCCUGUCACCCAAUGAAGCUGAGGGCAGCAAUCUGGGUCAAGAAAGGUCCUUAAAAUGCCAAAUUCUCUGUUUUGCCCUAUGCAUGGAAUGCCUACCUGCUUCCCACCCGCCCCACCCCUCCAGGCCCCUUCUGUUCUGUGUUCCUGGGAGCACUCUGCAGUUGUUCAGAUAGUCACACACAGAAGCAGUCCACUGUUUGCCCGGCUCAGUUUUCCAGGGCAUGGCACACCUCUCCCUGGCCUGAGCCUCCUACCCAGCAACCCUACAAACAAUGCCCUCUUUCCACCCGCUGUUAACAAUUUCAAAAUAGCUUUCCCUCCACAGGCACUGCAUUGCAGUAGCCACUGACCUAACUACUAUCCAGCAGACCCCCUCACUGCCGAGCCCUAAAUUCAAACACGAUGAGCAACCAACUCAGACUGCUCAGAUUUCACUAGGCCCAUGGUUCACAGAGGAAAUCCCUACCUGACCCGUCGAUCAGCCCGAAACUUCAACAUCUUUUUGGAAGCUCAGUCCCCAGUUCGGCAGCCUCAGAGGAGCCACCAGCCACCCUCCUGCUACCAUCCCUCCGAGAAGUAAGUCCUUGGCUCCAACUCUUAAUGCUGUGGCAGAGACGUGGGGCGAGCUGGGGCAGGCUUCAUGGGUUGCCCUUUCUCCUGGCUCUAGCACUGGAGAACAGGGACAGGGCUCCCCCUGGGCAAUGGGAGGGGUAGCCCAGGUGCCCUAGGGGGCCUAUGGCUUCCUAGCAUUCGCCUGUGAUGCUACAGUUAGAAGGCCGGAGACAGAAUAAAUGAAGAAGAGAACCUCCCAGUGCAGGUUCCCAAGAAGGAAAUGCAGAAAUGGAGAGAGGCAUGCACGGAGCAGGUGUACAGCUUCCAGGUAGUCCGACCUCACUGGGCUAAGGACACUGAGCAGCUGGGCGGGCGGAGGAGCAUGGGCUGCAUUCCCAUCUGCACGGAAACUCAUGCCAGCCCGACCUGCAGGGAGACGGUGUUCCAGCCUCUCCAGCUCCGAGCCCAGACAUGGGCUCUGGGGCAGCAAACCAACUUGCUUCUCCGAGACCUUCCAAGCCCUUCUGAGGGUUAAAGGAAGCUUCAGGUUCAUUGGCUGUUACUGUUGCUGUUGCUGAGAAGCUGAAGAGAAUUGAAGUCUCCGUUCCUUUCUCUCAGCCUGCCCAGCUUUCAUCUGUACAGACAGGAGCAUGAUACGUGAAGCGGCUCUGCAGCCGCCCUGACACAUUCCCCUCUCCAGUGGCUUGCCCUCCGAGUGCGCUGGCCCAGCUGGAUUCUUGGGCUGCAAGGCCUUCUGAAGGUCACCUCCUCAUCCCCCUGCCUCCAGACAAGCUUAUUCUCUUAUCAGUCCUUGUAAGUGCCUUGGAGGUUUGCAGAGGAUUCCAGCAAAGGAGGACCCAGGCUCGAUGUCAUCUUAAACAGCCAAGAUGCUCUUUCUGACGCUGUUUAGCUCCUCUGCCUUCUAUUGCUUCUACUUCACAUGGCAGAUUCCUUUCUGACCAAGGUGCUUCUUUUUGCAGCACCGGGCAUUCUGUUGACAUCAUAGUCUGUUGUUAUGGCAACUCUGUGAUAUCACAGUAGACACUCAAAGGGCAGGGCUGAUCUAAUUGUUUGGACUGAGGUCAGAGGAACAAUGGGAUCAGUAAACAGAAAAAUAAAUGGACAAUAUUAUUAUUUUUAACCCAUGAAGAGACAAGUUGGCCAGGUGUAAGCAGGGUCACAGCUGUUGAUAUUUAAACGACUAAUCCUAAAUCCAAAAGGUCAAUAUAUUCAGCCAUUUAGUGAGGCUUUGGUCAAUGAUUUAUCUUGGUGACAGGAGGCCUUAGAUCUGGGCUUGAACCUAUCUCUAGUUAAUUGAGCCAGAACCUUCUCCAGACGCCUUCUUGAGUUCCCUGUCUGCCUAACACAGGUACUCAAUAAAGUUUUGUUGAAUGUACAAAUGAACAGAUGAAAAAAAAACACUCCCAUGCUCCGGUGUCAUUUUUAGCUGCCUGCAUUUGAAGGUUGAUAUUCUAUUACCAAAGGCUCCCCUAUCUUAGCUCUCUCUUACAAUUAAUUACUUCCUCUCCGGGAGGGAAGCUCUGUUUCUGUCCCUUC